CGGACGGGUGAGUAACGCGUGAGUAACCUGCCUUAGAGAAGGGGAUAGCCUUUGGAAACGAAGAAUAAUACCCUAUAACACCAACACCUCGCAUGAAGAGUUGGUCAAAGAUUUAUCGCUCUAAGAUGGACUUGCGUCUGAUUAGUUAGUUGGUGAGGUAACGGCCCACCAAGACAGCGAUCAGUAGCCGGCUUGAGAGAGUGUACGGCCACAUUGGGACUGAGACACGGCCCAGACUCCUACGGGAGGCAGCAGUA
rnacentral:rRNA from 1 species